rnacentral:precursor_RNA from 14 species
UGACAUCCAGAAGAUACGACUGUGUUGUUUAGGCCGUGACAUGUACAAUGUUUGUGACUUUGACUUAGACCAAUAUUGCACUGGUCCCGGCCUGAAUAACACGGUUACUUGGCGACAAGGAACCU